GACGAACGCUGGCGGCGUGCCUAACACAUGCAAGUCGAACGGAAAGGCCCUGCUUUUGUGGGGUGCUCGAGUGGCGAACGCGUGAGUAACACGUGUGUAACCUGCCCUUGUCUUUCGGAUAACUUCAGGAAACUGGGGCGAAUACCCGAUAGGAGCUCCUGAUGCAUGGGGGGGGUAAGUAAAUGUCGGCGGUUGGGGAUGGUAUAGCGGCUUACCAGCUUGUUGGUGGGGUAGUGGCUUACCCAGGCUAUGACGGGUAGCCGGCCUGAGAGGGUGACCGGCCACAUUGGGACUGAGAGACGGCCCAGACUCCUACGGGAGGCAGCAGUGGGGAAUAUUGCACAAUGGGCGGAAGCCUGAUGCAGCAACGCCGCGUGCGGGAUGACGGCCUUCGGGUUGUAAACCGCUUUCGCCUGUGACGAAGCGUGAGUGACGGUAAUGGGUAAAGAAGCACCGGCUAACUACGUG
rnacentral:rRNA from 1 species